GCCCUGAUGGUCUAGCGGUAUGAUUCUCCCUUAGGGCUGUCUUCAGACGGAACAGUAUGGGAGAGGUCCCAGGUUCGAUCCCUGGUUAGGGCC
rnacentral:tRNA from 1 species